UACAGAGGGUGCAAGCGUUGUUCGGAAUUAUUGGGCGUAAAGCGCGUGUAGGCGGCUUUGCAAGUCGGGUGUGAAAGCCCUCAGCUCAACUGGGGAGGGUCAUUGGAAACUGGGGGACUUGAGUGCAGGAGAGAAGAGUGGAAUUCCACGUGUAGCGGUGAAAUGCGUAGAGAUGUGGAGGAACACCGAUGGCGAAGGCAGCCCCCUGGGCUAACACUGACGCUCAUGCACGAAAGCGUGGGGAGCAAACAGG
rnacentral:rRNA from 1 species